rnacentral:rRNA from 1 species
CAGUAGCCACGGUAAUACGUAGGGUGCAAGCGUUAAUCGGAAUUACUGGGCGUAAAGCGUGCGCAGGCGGUUUGUUAAGACAGAUGUGAAAUCCCCGGGCUCAACCUGGGAACUGCAUUUGUGACUGGCAAGCUAGAGUGUUGCAGAGGGGGGUGGAAUUCCGCGUGUAGCAGUGAAAUGCGUAGAUAUGCGGAGGAACACCGAUGGCGAAGGCAGCCCCCUGGGCCAACACUGACGCUCAUGCACGAAAGCGUGGGGAGCAAACAGGAUUAGAUACCCCAGUAGUCCCUGUCUCUUAUAC